GUGUCAGCCGCCGCGGUAAUACAGAGGUGGCAAGCGUUGUUCGGAAUUACUGGGCGUAAAGGGCGCGUAGGCGGCCUUCUCAGUCAGACGUGAAAUCCCCGGGCUUAACUCGGGAACUGCGUCUGAUACUGGAAGGCUGGAGUUCGGGAGAGGGAUGUGGAAUUCCAGGUGUAGCGGUGAAAUGCGUAGAUAUCUGGAGGAACACCGGUGGCGAAGGCGGCAUCCUGGACCGAAACUGACGCUGAGGCGCGAAAGCCAGGGGAGCAAACGGGAUUAGAAACCCCUGUAGUCC
rnacentral:rRNA from 1 species